UUUUGAAGUUGAGUUACUUAUUGACCUGGUCAUCAAUCCAAAACUAUAAAAAAAGAUCUGUUUGUUUGUUAGACUGUGGAAAGGGCAAAGUGGCUGCAGACACAUCAGACUUUACCUCAGCUGCUCCUGCUCCUGAGUCUAAUGGAUGAGAAUGGACAUGGUGGACUGGUCAGGGGACAUCCUGCCACUGGUGGCCCAGGAGCCCAGUGCAUUGGUGGACUUGCUCUACAAACAAAACAGUGGUGUUCUGGACCUGAUCUUUGCCUUGGAACAUAACCUAAGUGGAACCUAAAACACUGGAUCAGAUACGGUCAUUGACCAACAACAGGGACCGUGUCUCAGCCAUUGUAGAUUACUUCAGGAACUCAGACCAGAAAUUAUGUAUACGGUUUCUUUCCACUGUAUGUCAGUACUGUGACAACAUUCCCUUUCUUGUUUGUUCUUGGAUUUGACCGAUUGGGUGUGAAGGAAUACGUUUAACAGUACUUCCAUAAAAAAGGAGAAGAACUCAAAAAGAAGGCUGUAAACUUGCUGAUGGACAACCGACACUUCUUGUCAAUGUCUCACGUACCCGGAAUCUGUCAUAUUUGCUGUGUAUGUAUAGAUCAUCUGUUCUCCAGUGAUGGAACUGAUCUACAGCUACCAACUUCCUUAACCCAAAUCUACAUGCAGAUCCUCUUGGCAUUCCUCAAACGCUUAAAUCGAGGUGUGGUGUCUAGUACAUAUUCACUGCAGAGAUACAGAGCUAAAAUUGUUGAGAUGAGCCUGUUGGCUCUCAGAGGACUGGAGGAAAGCACUAUAGUCUUCAGGGACACGGAUGUGUCUCCAGAACUCCAGGAUUU